rnacentral:rRNA from 1 species
UAAAAACCCCGACUUCGGAAGGGGUGUAUUUAUUAGAUACAAAACCAAUGCCCUUCGGGGCUCUUUGGUGAUUCAUGAUAACUAUACGAAUCGCACGGCCUUGCGCCGGCGAUGGUUCAUUCAAAUUUCUUCCCUAUCAACUUUCGAUGUUUGGGUAUUGGCCAAACAUGGUUGCAACGGGUAACGGAGGGUUAGGGCUCGACCCCGGAGAAGGAGCCUGAGAAACGGCUACUACAUCCAAGGAAGGCAGCAGGCGCGCAAAUUACCCAAUCCCGACUCGGGGAGGUAGUGACAAUAAAUACUGAUACAGGGCCCUUUCGGGCCUUGUAAUUGGAAUGAGUACAAUUUAAAUCCCUUAACGAGGAACAAUUGGAGGGCAAGUCUGGUGCCAGCAGCCGCGGUAAUUCCAGCUCCAAUAGCGUAUAUUAAAGUUGUUGUGGUUAAAAAGCUCGUAGUUGAACCUUGGGCCUGGCUGGCCGGUCCGCCUCACCGCGUGCACUGGUCCGGCCGGGCCUUUCCCUCUGUGGAACUCCAUACCCUUCACUGGGCGUGGCGGGGAAACAAGACAUUUUACUU